CCACUGCUAUCACUACUCUCGUUGCUUUGGCGGGCCGCUGGGCCCUGCCCGGCCGCCGGCCCCGGCUGGCGCGUGCCCGCCAGAGACCUCACAGACUCUGAAUGUUAGUGUCGUCCGAGUAACUAUACAAUCGUUAAAACUUUCAACAACGGAUCUCUUGGUUCUGGCAUCGAUGAAGAACGCAGCGAAAUGCGAUAAGUAAUGCGAAUUGCAGAAUUCAGUGAGUCAUCGAAUCUUUGAACGCACAUUGCGCCCUGUGGUAUUCCGCAGGGCAUGCCUGUUCGAGCGUCAUUUCAACCCUCAAGCCUCGCUUGGUGUUGGGCCCUGCCCGCCGCGGCCGGCCCUAAAGAUAGUGGCGGCGCCGCCUGGCCCUCAGCGUAGUACAGCUCUCGCUCCAGGGUCCGGCGGCAGCCUGCCAGAACCCCCCAACUCUGUGGUUGACCUCGGAUCAGGUAGGGAUACCCGCUGAACUUAAGCAUAUCAAUAANNGGA
rnacentral:rRNA from 1 species